CAGAAAUAUUAUAAUUGUUAAAUGAUCACAGGUUAGAGCUCUACAUAAACAGCUGAAAAUAGCUGAGAAAGCCAAAGAGAAUGGUCAGGAAGAACUGAAAAUUGUAAACCAAAGUUUGGCCCAUUUAAAGGAUGAACUUCAGACGACCACCAGAAGUUAUGAGGGUCAGCUGAGCAUGAUGAGUGAGCACCUGGCUGGCAUGAAUGAGAAACUUGCUCAACAGAAAGAUGAGAUUGAUGAUUUAAAGCAACAGCUCUCACAGAAAGGAUCUUCUUCUAAAAUUUUAAAGAAAACCAAAAAAUAACAUUUGUGUUCCAUAAUUACCCGAAGGUCUUUCUCAAGUGAACACAUAAGCAGAGGAUGGACUACUUGCGGCUAAAAGGAUAAUUCAAAGUCAUUUACAGUUUGGCUUUUAUUGGGAUUUAUUCAUAUUACCUCUAGUAAUUUGUUUAGAUGUUGUCAGUAUUUGAUCAAUGUCUAGUUCAACUAGUGGUAUUGUUAAUGUUAGAUUUAUUCUGGGUUGAAAUGUACAAAUGCUUAUUACCUACCAACCUCUGACUCAAAGUAGUGAGCAACGUUAUUAAUUGUUGGCAAAUUAAUGUUCUUGUUACUUUACCAAAAUAUUCACGAAGUUUUGCAAAAAAUAUUUUGUUUUUUAUUUAGCCUGCAAUUCACUGUGAAUUUUACUUUUUAUAAAAAAAAAAUCUUAAUCACAUUAUAAGCCUUUCUUCCAAUAAUUAUAAUUUAAUUGCAAUAUAUUUUUUUUUCUAAUUGAUGCAGCAUAAAUUGUUUCACUGUCAUAGUGAAACAGCAUAAAUUGUUUCACUGUCAUAAGUAAACAUUUACACAAAACAUUUUGAGUACUGGUAUCAAUAUUAUGUAUGGUAGAUAAGAAAAACUAAAUAUUUAUAUUUGGUUUGAAAGCUUGACUGUCAUAUCUUGUAGGACUUUGUCCCUUAAUGGAGAAACUACUUACUCUCACGCUACUGGGUAACAGUAUUUCGCUGGAAGAUAAUUUUUAUAUCAAUAAUAAUAUGAAUAAUCGUGAUUUUAAAAUUCUAUAAUGACCCAUGUUCUUUUGUAGUUGAAUGGAUAAAACAUGUUAGCAACUUGCAGCAUGUAGAUAUUGUAUGUCCACUAAUAAGAUAUUUUAUUUGUUUGGCUUAUUUUAAUCUCUCUCCAUAUUCAGUUCUAUGUGUGACAGGGUCUUUGAAGCACACUUCACAAGGCAUUUUCAAAUGUGCAAUAUACAUUUUGAAGCAACUUCAAAUUUAAAAGCAGCUUUAGUUUUUAUAAGUCAGUAAUAUAAUUUUUACAAUUAAAAAUAAACCAUGAUUUAAAAAAAUGUGUUUUAAUGAUGUAAUAACUUCACAAUACAUAUUUGUGUGCAUGUGUUAAUCAUUCCACUAAAUACAAUAUUGAAAUAAUUUACACCUUUGUUGAAAUUGACGCUGCAUGUGUACAUAAAUAAUAGUGGGUCAUUCUUGUUUUUUUUUGUCCGUGAUGUUAAUUGACCUGUAACUUGCAGAGGUUUGAAUGUUGCUUUGAGAUACAAUGUCUACUAUUUUUUGUUGUUUUGGUUAUAUUUAUAAUAUGGCUGUGACAGUAUGUACAAGUCAAGAGAUUAAUUUUUUGUUCAUUUGACUAUUUCAAUGUAUUGUCUGAAUUGUCUAAAACAAAAGUAAAAUAGUCAUUUAUUUCAUA
rnacentral:sRNA from 1 species